AGAGUGGCGGACCGGCGCACGGGUGAGUAACACGUACCCAACCCUCGGAUAACUCGGGGAUAGUCCUUUAAAAGAAAGAUUAAUACCCGAUGGUAUAAUCAGACCGCAUGGUUUGAUUAUUAAAGAAUUUCGGUUAUCGAUGGGGAUGCGUUCCAUUAGGCAGUUGGUGAGGUAACGGCUCACCAAACCUUCGAUGGAUAGGGGUUCUGAGAGGAAGGUCCCCCACAUUGGAACUGAGACACGGUCCAA
rnacentral:rRNA from 1 species